rnacentral:rRNA from 1 species
AUGAACGCUAGCGACAGGCUUAACACAUGCAAGUCGAGGGGCAGCACAGGUAGCAAUACCGGGUGGCGACCGGCGCACGGGUGAGUAACGCGUAUGCAACUUGCCUAUCAGAGGGGGAUAACCCGGCGAAAGUCGGACUAAUACCGCAUGAAGCAGGGAUCCCGCAUGGGAAUAUUUGCUAAAGAUUCAUCGCUGAUAGAUAGGCAUGCGUUCCAUUAGGCAGUUGGCGGGGUAACGGCCCACCAAACCGACGAUGGAUAGGGGUUCUGAGAGGAAGGUCCCCCACAUUGGUACUGAGACACGGACCAAACUCCUACGGGAGGCAGCAGUGAGGAAUAUUGGUCAAUGGCCGAGAGGCUGAACCAGCCAAGUCGCGUGAGGGAUGAAGGUUCUAUGGAUCGUAAACCUCUUUUAUAAGGGAAUAAAGUGCGGGACGUGUCCCGUUUUGUAUGUACCUUAUGAAUAAGGAUCGGCUAACUCCGUGCCAGCAGCCGCGGUAAUACGGAGGAUCCGAGCGUUAUCCGGAUUUAUUGGGUUUAAAGGGUGCGUAGGCGGCCUUUUAAGUCAGCGGUGAAAGUCUGUGGCUCAACCAUAGAAUUGCCGUUGAAACUGGGGGGCUUGAGUAUGUUUGAGGCAGGCGGAAUGCGUGGUGUAGCGGUGAAAUGCAUAGAUAUCACGCAGAACCCCGAUUGCGAAGGCAGCCUGCCAAGCCAUUACUGACGCUGAUGCACGAAAGCGUGGGGAUCAAACAGGAUUAGAUACCCUGGUAGUCCACGCAGUAAACGAUGAUCACUAGCUGUUUGCGAUACACUGUAAGCGGCACAGCGAAAGCGUUAAGUGAUCCACCUGGGGAGUACGCCGGCAACGGUGAAACUCAAAGGAAUUGACGGGGGCCCGCACAAGCGGAGGAACAUGUGGUUUAAUUCGAUGAUACGCGAGGAACCUUACCCGGGUUUGAACGCAUUCGGACCGAGGUGGAAACACCUUUUCUAGCAAUAGCCGUUUGUGAGGUGCUGCAUGGUUGUCGUCAGCUCGUGCCGUGAGGUGUCGGCUUAAGUGCCAUAACGAGCGCAACCCUUGCCGCCAGUUGCCAUCAGGUGAUGCUGGGCACUCUGGCGGGACUGCCACCGCAAGGUGUGAGGAGGGGGGGGAUGACGUCAAAUCAGCACGGCCCUUACAUCCGGGGCGACACACGUGUUACAAUGGCGUGGACAAAGGGAGGCCACCUGGUGACAGGGAGCGAAUCCCCAAACCACGUCUCAGUUCGGAUCGGAGUCUGCAACCCGACUCCGUGAAGCUGGAUUCGCUAGUAAUCGCGCAUCAGCCAUGGCGCGGUGAAUACGUUCCCGGGCCUUGUACACACCGCCCGUCAAGCCAUGGGAGCCGGGGGUACCUGAAGUCCGUAACCGCGAGGAUCGGCCUAGGGUAAAACUGGUGACUGGGGCU